rnacentral:lncRNA from 1 species
AUUUUAACAUAUUAUUAAACAAAACUAAUUUUAACGUAUCUCUGUAUAAGCCAACGUAACUUGUACACUAAUACUCAGUUUGUAAGAUUCCAGGUUUUCAGAGAUAUUCAUGGCUGAUGAUGUUUCAUUAUCUUAGUGCUUUGUCUAUAAUCCCUAUUGCUGUCCAUAGAGCAGCUUUAAGAGUUCUGCUUCAGUCCAGGGAGAUUCUGCCUUCGUGGAACUGAGACAGGGAGAUUCCUGCUUCUUUCUAAGCAAACUAAGGAUCCAUAAGGCCUUGUCUUGCUCCUGGGGUAUUGCACAGGUAACGUGGGGAAAAAGAUGGCAUUCAGAGUCCUCCUUCAAGACCUGAUGGCAUGAGGUUGCAAUACUUGAUUUUAGCUACAAAUUCAUUUUUGUUUAUGCAUGUAAGGGAACUGCGUGGAGUCAAAAGAGAGUCUUUGGAAUUGUUAUGUACUUCCUAGGAGAAAUACUCAGCCACUGAUGCGUACGUGCACCUUCUAUUUGUUGUAGGCAUUCACCUGCUGGGGCUGGUAGGGGAAAAAAUGUUUACUGAUUAAUUGAGAUGGUUGGAAAUGUGAGUGGGUAAGGUGACGUUAUGGGCUAUGGACAUAAGUUCAAUUCAUGGUUUACCUCUGAAUUUUUAGCACACUGUUAAGAUCUUCACUAGAAGAGUAUAUAUUGUUGUGACUUUUUGCUGCUGGUUAGCCAUGUGACAUUUUACAUUGUGUUGUUUCAUUCUAACUCUGUUGCAAUAAGAUCUGUAAUGGCGUAAGAUUAUUUCCUUACUCGUUUUUUUUUUUUUUAAGUCCUUCUUGUGUGUAUGUAUUUUUAAGCUUUUUUUUUUAAGCCCUACUUCCUUGGGGCUGAUAUUGUUUCCUCCAUUUGUACGCUACUGAAAUAUACAUAUUUUUUUUUUUUUUUGGUUAUGUUUUCCCCUGAUCUGAAAAUGCAGAAGCAGCAGCGAAGGAGAUUUGCUGCAAAAGCUGUGCAAAUAUUCAAAUAAAUCAGCCAGCUUCCUUAGCA